UACGUAGGGUCCGAGCGUUGUCCGGAAUUACUGGGCGUAAAGAGCUCGUAGGUGGUUUGUCGCGUUGUUCGUGAAACUCACAGCUCAACUGUGGGCGUGCGGGCGAUACGGGCAGACUGGAGUACUGCAGGGGAGACUGGAAUUCCUGGUGUAGCGGUGGAAUGCGCAGAUAUCUGGAGGAAUACCGGUGGCGAAGGCGGCAUCCUGGACCGGCAUUGACGCUGAUGAGCGAAAGCUAGGGGAGCAAACGGG
rnacentral:rRNA from 1 species